AAGAGAGCUUGAUUGCAAGACAUACAGGUCGAGCAAGGAUGAAAAUCGGACUUAGUGAUCCGGUGGUUCUGCGUGGAAGGGCCAUCGCUCAACGGAUAAAAGCUACCCUGGGGAUAACAGGCUUAUCUCCCCCAAGAGUCCACAUCGACGGGGAGGUUUGGAACCUCGAUGUCGGCUCAUCACAUCCUGGGGCUGUAGUAGGUCCCAAGGGUUGGGCUGUUCGCCCAUUAAAGUGGUACGCGAGCUGGGUUCAGAACGUCGUGAGACAGUUCGGUCCCUAUCCGUCGCA
rnacentral:rRNA from 1 species